rnacentral:misc_RNA from 1 species
GAUGAAGAACGUAGCGAAAUGCGAUAAGUAAUGUGAAUUGCAGAAUUCAGUGAAUCAUCGAAUCUUUGAACGCACAUUGCGCCCCCUGGUAUUCCGGGGGGCAUGCCUGUUCGAGCGUCAUUUCACCACUCAAGCCUCGCUUGGUAUUGGGCAACGCGUUCCGCCGCGUGCCUCAAAUCGACCGGCUGGGUCUUCUGUCCCCUAAGCGUUGUGGAAACUAUUCGCUAAAGGGUGUUCGGGAGGCUACGCCGUAAAACAACCCCAUUUCUAAGGUUGACCUCGGAUCAGGUAGGGAUACCCGCUGAACUUAAGCAUAUCAAUAAGCGGAGGA